rnacentral:lncRNA from 1 species
CUUGAAGUAAGUUCCUUUUUUGAAAUCCUUGGGGAGCUGGUCUAACUUCAUCUUAAAGACUCGACACUCAAUGUCUGGUUUAUCAUUGGGAGAGUCUCCACCAUACUUCAUAAGAUGCUCUUUAAUCUCUCUCCAGUUGGGAUUGGCCGUCAUUGUGAUAAACAAAUCUGGAUUCCCAUAUUCUCUGCAAAUAGCCAUCGCAUCAUGAUAUUUUUCAACUAAGUAUCAGGGCCCACAGGU